GAAGUGGGCAAUUAUGCCCGUACACGAAGCAACGAUUAGGAGAAGUAUUGUAGUAUAGUGUAUCCUUAAUUGUAUUGCACGAAAGAGAGAGCUAAGUGGGAAAUCCAUGGAUCUCGGAAGUUUUUGGAUUUCAUUUCGCGAACAGAGCGGACAUUGAAUGUGAUGCGCAAGAAAAGUGUUAUUAGCAGACCAUUUCUGACCUGCCCAGAUUCCACUUAGUAAUGCACAAAGGCCCCUACUGUGCUCUGAGAUCCACAUAACAAGGUACUGCCUUUUAAAAUUGCUGAUCCUUAACAGAAAGCAGGAUGUGGGGAAUGUGAGAAUAAAUCUACACAAUGGGACUUGUGCACAUCAGAUGGGAAGGACGCCACUGGAGAAAUCCUUUUUUCCCCCAACUUUUUUUUUUUUAUAG
ensembl:lncRNA